rnacentral:tRNA from 1 species
GGAGAGAUGGCUCAGUGGUUAAGAGCACUGACUGCUCUUCCAGAGGUCCUGAGUUCAAUUCUCAGCACCUACA